UGCUGGGGAUUGAACCUAGGGUAUGCUGCUAGGUGAAUGCUCUACCACUGAGCUACACCUUCAGCCCUCAAGACGGACUCAUCUAAAAGCUGAUACAAUGAUGAUAACAUAGUUCAGCAGACUAAACACUGAUGAACAAUCAAGUCUUUCGCUCCUAUCUGAUGUAUCUUGCUGCAGUAACCUUUUAUUGUCUCCUUGAAAACAUUGAGGAACAUGGAUCACAAAUGUCUUUUCUUUGCACUGUUAAACUACAGAAUUAAGGAUGAAGAUGCAAGCCAGGCAUGAUGUCUCAUGUCUGGACCUCCCAUCUACUCGACAGGCCAAGACGUGACUUGAAACGACCUCAAGGUAAAAUUUGUGACCCUGAACCCUUUAAGGACGUUGUGGCAUCAGUGGGCAUAUGGCUUACCCUUACAAAGGCAGCUGGAUAGUUGCUCAUCGGAGAGAAGAUUAAACAUGUCAGUUUUAAUAAAUUGGUGGAAACUGUCUGGA